UAGUAGUUUCCACUUUUGUCUAGGUCUCCUCAAGACUUAAUCUGUCGGGAAUUUUAUGUACCCAUGGUCGGCUUCAUCUGUCUUCCAGACAGAGUGAUAAAAAGUGGAAUCACAGCUAAUGGAGUCCCAUGCAGGUUGCUCUGCUCACAGGAAGACAUUAGGAGGAGAGUGGAUCACUUAAUCUUUCAUCGAGUGGGAAAUCUGAAAGACAGACUUCUAUUCUGACUCCACAGCUGGCUGGAAGCCCCAGAAUGAAUAUACAAACGGACAAUGUCUAAACAUCACAUGGAAAGAGAUUGCUGACCUACAACCUCUGCAGCAACCAGCCACGAAGCCAG
rnacentral:lncRNA from 1 species